GACGAACGCUGGCGGCGUGCCUAAUACAUGCAAGUUGAGCGCUGAAGGUUGGUACUUGUACCAACUGGAUGAGCAGCGAACGGGUGAGUAACGCGUGGGGAAUCUGCCUUUGAGCGGGGGACAACAUUUGGAAACGAAUGCUAAUACCGCAUAAAAACUUUAAACACAAGUUUUAAGUUUGAAAGAUGCAAUUGCAUCACUCAAAGAUGAUCCCGCGUUGUAUUAGCUAGUUGGUGAGGUAAAGGCUCACCAAGGCGAUGAUACAUAGCCGACCUGAGAGGGGGAUCGGCCACAUUGGGACUGAGACACGGCCCAAACGCCUACGGGAGGCAGCAGUAGGGAAUCUUCGGCAAUGGACGAAAGUCUGACCGAGCAACGCCGCGUGAGUGAAGAAGGUUUUCGGAUCGAAAAACUCGGUUGGUAGAGAAGAACGUUGGUGAGAGUGGAAAGCUCAUCAAGUGACGGUAACUACCCAGAAAGGGACGGCUAACUACGUG
rnacentral:rRNA from 1 species